AUUCAACAUCUUCCUAAGGUAGGAGAUUGAGAUCGAAAGGCAAGGGUCUGCGGAAGGAGGAAGAGGCAAUAUCACCGUCGUCAAUAACCAAUGAAGACGAGUCACAAUCACUGUGGCAGUCGUCAAGGAGAACAGGUGGUGAGGGAGGGUGCCGGCGGUGGUGGUGCGACCUUACAA